AGCAUUACAAAAGAGACUGGGCCUAGACCAAACGUUAAUUAUCACUAGGUGUGCUGAAGCGUGAGAUGGGAACGGGUCCAUGAAGGGGAUUGUUAUUUGCACCGUACAAAAAUAAUUUCUUUUGAUGCACCUUCUUUCUUUUCUAAACUUUUGUUUGAUGUAAAUAUGUUGUAUGAAGUGGAUACCCACUCGGUGAAGAUGCUUGUGUGCCUUUUACCUUUAGAGGUCAUAAUCAAAACUUUAGGUCUCACGGGAGGACAUCAAGUUGAAGUUAAGGUCGAGUCUGCCCACAAGACCGACUUGCAAAGCUGUUGUAACACAUCCUAUGUUUGGUAGCAUGGAGCAGCAAUAGCAUUGGUGCUUAUCGCUGGCUGGAACAAUUGUCCAUAUACAGGUUACCUCUUGGAAUUUUUUCAGGUUUUCUAAACAGUCUACUGACACCUAUUAACAUCGAAAGGAGGACAUGAGUGGACUGGGAUGGGAGCUCAGGCAAGGUUCAGUGGGCAGGGAGAAAAGGGAAAAAAGAAAAGGAGAAAUGCAAACAUUUCUCAAUCAAUGGUCUGCAGUGUCUCUAAAUACUUGGGGGGAAACAGGUAUCAAAGCCAAAGGCAACAGAAGAGUACAGAAUAGGAAGAGAGAGAUUCUCAUCCUAAUCCCCAGCCUGACAAGCCAUUCAAACAAAAACAAGUUAUCUAAAAAGAGCAUUUUAAUGAGCGCCUUUUUCUGCUGUUUAUUUGAUGAUGUCUGUAGCUUUUUAAAAGUAUAAAAGCUUAAUGUUUACAAUAUAAAGAAGCUUAGAUUUACCAUACACAAGGGUGGAAAAGCCUCUAAGAAAAUAAACCCCACAAAUUCUGAAUGGAGACUCCUACCAAAGAGUUGGGAGGGGAGAGUUUGGAAGUGAAAAUAAACUUUAGUACACACUGAAUUUUUCUUCAUUUCUUGAAGGAAAAUUUCAACAAGGAAGUGUCUUAAAACCAGUAUUUUUCAUACUAUUUAAAAAUCAUAACAAGAAUUCUAGGAUUGAUCGAGCAAAGAAAUUACUUGAAUCAAGCCUUUUAACACCCCAUUUGGCAAAAA